rnacentral:rRNA from 1 species
GAUGAACGCUGGCGGCGUGCCUAAUACAUGCAAGUCGAGCGAACAGACGAGGAGCUUGCUCCUCUGACGUUAGCGGCGGACGGGUGAGUAACACGUGGAUAACCUACCUAUAAGACUGGGAUAACUUCGGGAAACCGGAGCUAAUACCGGAUAAUAUAUUGAACCGCAUGGUUCAAUAGUGAAAGACGGUUUUGCUGUCACUUAUAGAUGGAUCCGCGCCGCAUUAGCUAGUUGGUAAGGUAACGGCUUACCAAGGCAACGAUGCGUAGCCGACCUGAGAGGGUGAUCGGCCACCCUGGAACUGAGCCACGGUCCAGACUCCUACGGGAGGCAGCAGUAGGGAAUCUUCCGCAAUGGGCGAAAGCCUGACGGAGCAACGCCGAGUGAGUGAUGAAGGUCUUCGGAUCGUAAAACUCUGUUAUUAGGGAAGAACAAAUGUGUAAGUAACUAUGCACGUCUUGACGGUACCUAAUCAGAAAGCAACGGCUAACUACGUG